rnacentral:tRNA from 3 species
GCGCCGCUAGCUCAACUGGCAGAGCAGCUGGCUCUUAACUAGCGGGUUCGGGGUUCGAGUCCCUGGCGGCGCACGA